ACCUAAUGGUGUGGGCAUUUACAAAGUAGGUCCCUGAAACACUCCCAGAUCUUAAAGAAAAGUUCUCCAUCCAUUUGUCAAAAACUUGUGAUUGCCCUUCCCAGCU